UUAAAUGGAUAUGUCACCUCCCUGGUUCGACAUAAUACAUCUACUGUGGCGCCAUCUCUGAUUUUCAUAGCGACUCUUUUAGUUUUUUCAAUGAUCCAUUACAUUUCGUUCCGUGUAUUUUGUUAACUUUCCAAUACUUUCGGUUUACCGUGUAUAUUUCCGUAGUGCUUGGAACAACAUAAGAAAAGGACCUAUUUAUAUUAGACAAUUAUUGCUUUCACGUUAUUUGUUACAAGAAUUAUCUUCAACAAUCAAUUAUAAAUCUAUAUACCAAGUAUUUCUACAAUUAAAAAUUUAUAUAAAAAUCAAAACAUUUCCACGCUGACACAUUUUUUUAUUUCGGCUAGCUGGUUUGUUUUGUGCAGAACAAUUGUUUGUAAAUUUGAAUUGGUCCUCUUCAUAUGUUGAUCCAACAAUUUGUUGAAAAAUUAAUCGUAGACCGCGACAUUAUUAUGUGAAAACUCCGUGGUUUAAACGCAAAUACGUUAAAAAACCAAGAAAUGCAACGGUUGUCCAUCAACCCGAACCACAACCUCAAAACGCUACGAAUGAGCAUGAUGUACCGGAUGACGAUCAAUACUUCCAUGACGACCUAGGAAAUAAUUGUAAUGAUCCGAAUAUGAGAGCUCCCGAUUACAUUGACGCACAAGCUGGUUUGAUAGAGUUUCCACCAUCGACAAGUUCAGAACCAGUAAGGAGUAGGUUCUCCAGAUUGCCAAGGACGGAAAAUUUGUCUGGCGAAGAAUCAGAAAGCUCGGAAAGUUUGAUCGAUGGCACUUUCCAAUACUUUAAUGAACCUUACGUUGGAGACUCCGAUUCUUCACAGUCAUGGGACUUUUCCAACUCAGACGAUUCAAUGGAUGGAAGAUUUCACGAAACAAAUGAUGAAGCUUUCGGCGGACCAGGUGUAGAAUCAUAUUGCGGAUCGGACAACUCGGGGAUCAAUUUGUAAAUCUAGAACGCAAGUAGAUUAAAUAAAUUUGAGCAUUCAGGAAAAAGGUGUUAACAAUUCUAAUUAUUUCAUGGCUAAAUGUCUUAUUGUAUCACGCAAAACUUGGUAAUUCUCGACAUGCAUGGUCGGUUCAAAAAUGGUUUAUGUGUUCGCAAUAUCUUCCUUCGCUUGAAAUGGUGAUCCAUAAAUGACCCACCACCCCCCU